GGACGUGGGUCCCAUCUAAGCAGGACGUGGGUCCCACAAAGGGAAGGGAGUCUUAGUCAUACUAGGAUCAUAAUUGAUUUCAAUCCAAUUUGACUCAAGCCAAAUCUGAUUUGGUUGGGGCAAAUUAGACAUUUUCACUAAACCAAUUUUGGUGUCUAUUACGGUUUUACCAAUUUCAAAUCAUAUUUGAAUUUGGUCAAGCCCAAUCUUUAUUACUCAAUCAAAUUGAGUCUAAAUAGUGAUCCAAUCACCAAUUAACUUCUCCAAGCAACAAUUGCUUAGGGCAAUCAGUCAAUCACAUUGACUAUUUUACCUCUAGAAGAUUUUCAAUCGUCAAUCAGCUAUUUGAUCAAUCCAGAAACUUCUAAGCGUGUGACCUCACAGGUUCGAACCUAAGCCGGUAGUACAAGAACACUUCCUGCACUAAUCGAAGUAACCAUCUAGCAAUGGGAUCCGACGACCGGAUAGGCCGAAUAGAUGCAAAGCAACAUUCUAGAACCUUUUGGACAAUGGUUACCAUAUAAUUCAUCCUCUUGACCACAAAUGCCCAAGACGGGUUAAGAGUCUGU
rnacentral:lncRNA from 1 species